ACGGUAUUACCUCCAUCCCGAAAAGUUUGUCUUAGAUUUUUGUCUAGAUCCAGAUGUAUCUAGACACGUUUUAGUGUUAGAUACAUCCAUAUUUAGACAAGCCUUUUGGGAUGGAGGGAGUAAAAC
rnacentral:pre_miRNA from 1 species